AAAAGUCGUAACAAGGUUUCCGUAGGUGAACCUGCGGAAGGAUCAUUAUCGUACAACGGAGGCACCUAGGGCUGUCGCUGGCCUUUACAAGGUUGUGCACGCCCAAAAGUGCUCUCUCACAUCCAUUUCACCCCUUUGUGCAUCACCGCGUGGGACCUCCUAUCUGGGGAUCUUGCGUUUUUACAACAGACACCAUUUUAAUGCAUGUAUAGAAUGAGAUUUGCGACAAUACGCAAUCAAUAUAACUUUCAACAACGGAUCUCUUGGCUCUCGCAUCGAUGAAGAACGCAGCGAAAUGCGAUACGUAAUGUGAAUUGCAGAAUUCAGUGAAUCAUCGAAUCUUUGAACGCACCUUGCGCCCCUUGGUAUUCCGAGGGGCACACCCGUUUGAGUGUCGUGAACACCCUCAACCUUCUUGGUUUCUUGACCAAAAGGUUUGGACUUUGGAGGCUUUAAUUGCUGGCUUUCAUUCAAGUCGGCUCCUCCUAAAUGAAUUAGUGGGAUUUGCUUUGCUGAUCCUUGACGUGAUAAGUAGACGCCUACGUCUUGGUUUUUGCAAUGUUACCUGCUUCGAACCGUCUUUAAACCAAAGACAAUGUUCGAGUCACCUCGCGAGUCGUGGCUUGACCUCACUGACCUUGACCUCAAAUCGGGUGAGACUACCCGCUGAACUUAAGCAUAUCAAUAAGCGGAGGA
rnacentral:rRNA from 1 species